AUCUUAUCUCUUCUCUGCAGAAACCCACGCCUCCGCCACCAACUCCUCCUGCCGCUUCUCCAACCACCACCAAAGCCAUCAAAUCCAUCAACCACUAUAAACCAUCACUACCACCAUCAUUACCUACUUCCUCAACCAUUUCAGCAACCUAAUUCACUAAUUUUUCACGCCUCUUCUCAGAAACCCUAGGCGUGUGAGAUUAGUAAAUUAGGUUGAGAAAUAGCACGCAAUUGGAGCAUCAAUUGGACGACAAGAAGCAAUAGAAGCAUGGGUGAAGAUGAUUGAGUGUUUUCAGAGAUUAGACCAUGACCUGUUGCUGCUGUGGGCUGUGAGCUAGCUUACUGCCACUGAAGAGGUGAUCCUGCUGCUGUUGGAGUUGAAAGAUUGAACAAGGCCCAACUGGGCUGUGCAACAAAAGAAAAGGGGAUAAAAGCCCAACUGGGCUUCCCUCCAAAAACAAGUGAUAAAUAAAGACUAGAUGAGUUA